GACGAACGCUGGCGGCGUGCUUAACACAUGCAAGUCGAGCGAAGCGGCGGACGGGUGAGUAACACGUGAGUAACCUGCCUUAGACAUUGGUCUAGCCUCGGGACACCGGGAUUAAUACCAAAUGGUCUAAGAUGGACUCGCGUCCCAUUAGCUAGUUGGUGAGGUACCGGCCCACCCAGGCGACGAGGGGUAGCCGGCCUGAGAGGGUGAACGGUCACAUUGGAACUGAGAAACUGUCCAAACUCUACGGGAGGCAGCAGGGGGGAAUAUUGCACAAUGGAGGGAACUCUGAUGCAGCGACGCCGCGGGAACGAAGAAGGCGUUCGAGUCGUAAAGUUCUUUUAUAUGGGAAGCGGUACCAUAAGAAAAAGCCCCGGCUAACUACGUGCCAGCAGCCGCGGUAAUUC
rnacentral:rRNA from 1 species